rnacentral:rRNA from 1 species
AUACGGAGGGUGCGAGCGUUACUCGGAGUCACUGGGCGUAAAGCGUCCGUAGGCGGUCGGGUAAGUCGGGUGUGAAAGCCCCGGGCUCAACCUGGGAAGUGCACCCGAUACUGCUCGACUCGAGUGCGGGAGAGGAUGGCGGAAUUCCCGGUGUAGCGGUGAAAUGCGUAGAGAUCGGGAGGAACACCAGUGGCGAAGGCGGCCAUCUGGCCCGCAACUGACGCUGAGGGACGAAAGCGUGGGGAGCAAACAGGAUUAGAUACCCCUGUAGUCC